ensembl:lncRNA
GAUGUGACAGCCUCUAUCAUGCCUGCUAUCUUCCAAGAAGUUCAUUAUUCUCUCAACCCCCAUAUUCCUUUCUGAACACACAGAGAAGCAGUAGUUGGGUGGCUCUAUAGACACUGCUGGGGUUUCUGCUCUUCUUGCCGUCAGGGCUGCGGUGGUGGAGUGAGGGUUAGAAUCUCUCCAAGUCUCAGAGCCGCAGGUGUUCUCAUACUUAUUCAGUCGUGUGCUUAUUGCAGGGUUAUGUUUCCAGAGUUGUCACCAAAUACUAUGAAAAACCAUUAGUUAAUAUCGGACAAUGAAAUGUCUAAUCAUUUAGAUAAACAUGUCUAAAGUGUUGGAUUUAAUGUUAGUGAGAUCAUCAAUUCUCUAUUUAUUCAAACGAACAGUUGAAUAUUUUAUUUAUUUACUAAAAUAAGUUUUAUUUAUUUAUUUAUUUGGGUGCACUGGGUCUUAGUUGCAGCAUGAGGGAUCCUCGUUGCCGCGUGUGGGAUCCUCACUGCAGCAUGCGAGAUCUUUUAGUUGCAGCAUGCAUGAUCUCUUUAGUUGCACAUGCAGGAUCUUUAGUUGCAGCAUGUGUGAUCUUUUAGUUGUGGCAUGCGGGAUCUUUUAGUUGCAGCAUGCAGGAUCUUUAGUUGCAGCAUGCGGAAUCUUUAGUUGCAGCAUGAGAACUCUUAGUUGUGGCAUAUGGGAUCUAGUUCCCUGGCCAGGGAUAGAACCCGGGUCCCCUGCAUUGGGAGUGUGGAGUGUUAGCCACUGGACCACCAAGGAAGUCCCUGAAUACUUUAAAUGAAUGUAAUGUUUAAGAGCAGUAACAUUUGGGGAUGCUAUGAAUUCUCAACAUUCCUACAGAAUGAAACAAAUAUAGUCAUUCCUCAAAUAUAUGCCCAUCUCUGUGGUUUGCAAAAUUUUCAAAGGUUUCAGCUGCAUAUUCAUAAUGGAUUCUUUGCAGAACACAUCAGUCUAUAUCACUGCAUCUUUAUCAUUUUAGGAAUAGGUACAAUGAAGAAGAAAUCUGUGCUUUCCUUGCAGGUAUUGAGCUAGUGGAACAUUUGCUAUAUUAAAAUAAUUUUGUAUUGUAUUUGAUUGACAUUCAACUUUAAGUUAAUUAUACCUCACCUCCUACUCCAAUAUAGAAUGUAAUACUUUAGACCUUUCAUCACUAGUUUAGCAUAAACUAAGAAAAAUUUUCUUUUGAUGCUAUUUACUUACUUGGGCUAGACUUGAUUUAUCUGAAUCAUUACACUCACUCUUUUUUUUAACAUCUUUAUUGGGGUAUAAUUGCUCUACAGUCGUGUGUUUGUUUCUGCUGUAUACCAAAGUGAAUCAGCUAUACAUAUACACAUGUUCCCAUAUCUCUUCCCUCCUGCGUCUCCCUCCCUCCCACCCUCCCUGUCCCACUACAAUGAACAUGGCUGACUUGGUAAAAAGAAAAAGCAUAAAAACUGUUUUUGUAUGAGAUAAAAAUUCAUUAUUGCUAUCAAGUACAAAUAUAACCUUCUAAAAUAGGUUUUGAAAGUAAAACUAAUGGAAACAUUCAAUUUAAGCAUCUGUUUAUUAGAAGUUGUAAGUUAACUGAAUUUAUUAGAUGCAGUUUUAUAGCGGUUGCAGUCAGAAUUUCAAAGGAAGCAACUUUCCCUGAGAGUGUGUCAUGGCCUGUUGGUGAGCAAUGUGUGGCACAAGUAUAUCACUCUCAGUGGUGACAGGAGGGUGGGGCAAAGGUCCUCACUCAGAGCUGAUCCAGUAGAAAAUAUGCAAACGCAGCAUGAACUCCAUGUGGUAACUGGCCACUGAGAAGACCCUCCGCGGAAGAAACUCGAACCGGAUGGUCACCAACAAGGCAUCUUUGCCUUAAGUUUUGCUAAUGUUGCUUGUCUGGGAGAGAGGUGGUUAUGUAAAUAAAAACAGUGAACUAGAGCCAAACAACAACAGAAAACAAAAAAAAACAGCCCAUAGCACACUCUCAGGGAAAGCUGCUUUUGAAAUUCUGACUGCAACCAUUAUAAAACCGCAUCUAGUAAAUUCAGUUAAAACUUUUAAUAAAUAGAUGUUUAAAUUGAAUUUGUUUCCAUUACCAUUAAUUUUCAAAGCCUGUUAUAGAAAAUCAUAGUUGUACUUGACUCUGGAAUCAGUGCCCUGCAUUUCCCUUCCCCAUGUCCAUGUGUACCAACAUUGAGGUACUCUGCUAUAAAUGCUAUCCUUCUGAUUUGGGAAUAAAGCAGAAUCACUGACAACCAGCUUUUCCUCCUCUUAGCCUUUUAUUAGCCAGGUACUAGGAAAAGAAAUGGUUAAGACAUAGCCCUACCCUUGAGGAGUUCAUAGUCUUGUAUAGAAACUGAUGCAGAAUUAGGAUGUAAUGAAUGUGAUUAGUGUAGAUUUUUCUGUUUGAAGUAUUGGAACUAUUUACCUGUUUUUGGGUCUUUUGUGCAAAAUCGUUUGUAGAAGGGAAGGAGCAGAGAGGAUGACAGAAUCUCUAUAUUUAAAAAAAUGGACACACACGCACCGCCCCCCCCCCCCCGCCCCCACUGCCACCAGAUGGCAACGUGAUAUUUGGAGGAUUUUUUUUUUUAAUUCAGGGAUCACUGCCUUGUUUCAGGAUCAUUUAGAUUAGUACUUUCUCCUGCCACCUAGGCUUUUAAUCUCUUAGUGUGGAAACUGAUUUUAGUUUUUGGUUCACGUAUUUGCCUUACUAAUUGUAUCAAGCAUAUGAAACCCUGAUGAAUCAAACUCUGUAUAGCAAAUAAUAUGAUUUUGAUGAGCUGUUUUGUUUUUUCACUGUUACGACAGUACCAACUUACAUUUGAAGUCCAAAGCCAGCAUUUGCUCAUUCUGAGGUGGGACUGGUGAGCAUCCAUAAGUGGCAUGGCUAUUUGGGAGUACUUUUGGUUGGGACGCUGAAGCCAGGGCUCCAGAGAAUAUCCCCCUGCUAAACAGGUUAUAAAAGGAUGUUAUUCUUUUUAAUAAAAUGGUACAAAUAAUUCCUCUUGAAAAGUAUCUAUUACCUCACCCUGAGAAGUGUUUGACUUGGAUAAGCCACUGUUCAUUCUAGUCUUUUAACAUAACUGAACAUGUUAAAGUGAUUUAGGCCACAGGAGAUUUUAUGGCUAUUAGAAACUAUUUGGCUGCAAAUAUAAUAUGAAUAAAAUAAUAAAUGUUUUUUAUUUUGAUUAAACUGAUUUAUAUAGUUUUUUCUGGAAUGAAUCAUAAUAUAUUUGUCUUCCACAUAAUUUUGUAAUGUAGAUAGUAUGUUAACUCCCACUUUUGACCUCAUAAUUCAUGUUUUUAUUGUUUGUAGGCCAGUGAGAAGAAUUCCUCAUUAUCAAAUUCUCAUCAACAAGUCUGACAGAAUUUGCGUCUCCUAAACCUACAUUUCCAAGGAGGUCAUAACAAUAUUUAUGGAAUAUGAGGCACAGAAUCUUAAGUUAAAAAAUAUUUUUCCAGGUCUCAUUUGCAUUGAACUCAAAUUAACUGUCAAAUAAGAAUACUGAUAUAAGGAAGGUAAAUACUACAAAAAAUGUAAUCUUUAGCAUGUAGCUGAAUGGAAUCCUAAAUUUUAUCAGUAAUAUUCAGAAACCUUAUUUUAAUAGUAUUUCCUUCUAAAAAGGAGCUUGGAACAUAGUGGGUUUGUUUCAAAUAUCCUAAUUAGAAAGAAAUUUUCUUUCAGAAAACAGCAAUUGCAAUUUUUUGCUUUCUUGAAAGAUUUUCUUUAAAAAGGGGUUCAGAAGAAAGAAAUUGUCAGGAUUAAGGAUUAAGUUCGGGAUAGGUUUAUUCUAGCAGGCUUUGUGGCACAGGUCCCCUAAGUAAUUCAUUGUGAUACUCCAGUAUCUGCCAUGUGUCAGAAAUUAACUUGCCAUUAACUGACAGCUAAAUUUGAUACCCUUAGUCUUAAAGUACACAGGAUGUCAUACAUAAACCAGUCCAAUCUUUGAAGGAUUACUUCUCUUAGAUGCUCUACAGAAUUGUAGGACUGUCCAUUUUAUAGGAUUUUUUUUUUGAGGCAACAUCUUUAAAAAUGCCUGUAAAUUCUAAAAAGUGUUUGCUAACUUAAAAUUUGUUUUUAGGUAUUUAUUGCUAAGUUGAAAACCUUCUUUACCAAAUAUGAUGGAACCAAAGAUACGACGAAGCCAUGGCUAAGAAAAAUCAGCCCCCGUGAUUAAAUUUUAUUGAGUAUGAACAAUUUUUUUCUUGAUGUACAGACUCAAUAGUACUUUUCUACCCAACUGGAUAAAUAAAAGCU